rnacentral:rRNA from 1 species
UUUAUGGAGAGUUUGAUCCUGGCUCAGGAUGAACGCUGGCGGCGUGCCUAAUACAUGCAAGUCGAGCGAACGGACGAGAAGCUUGCUUCUCUGAUGUUAGCGGCGGACGGGUGAGUAACACGUGGAUAACCUACCUAUAAGACUGGGAUAACUUCGGGAAACCGGAGCUAAUACCGGAUAAUACUUUGAUCUGCAUGGUUCAAAAGUAAAAGACGGUCUUGCUGUCACUUAUAGAUGGAUCCGCGCUGCAUUAGCUAGUUGGUAAGGUAACGGCUUACCAAGGCAACGAUGCAUAGCCGACCUGAGAGGGUGAUCGGCCACACUGGAACUGAGACACGGUCCAGACUCCUACGGGAGGCAGCAGUAGGGAAUCUUCCGCAAUGGGCGAAAGCCUGACGGAGCAACGCCGCGUGAGUGAUGAAGGUCUUCGGAUCGUAAAACUCUGUUAUUAGGGAAGAACAUAUGUGUAAGUAACUGUGCACAUCUUGACGGUACCUAAUCAGAAAGCCACGGCUAACUACGUGCCAGCAGCCGCGGUAAUACGUAGGUGGCAAGCGUUAUCCGGAAUUAUUGGGCGUAAAGCGCGCGUAGGCGGUUUUUUAAGUCUGAUGUGAAAGCCCACGGCUCAACCGUGGAGGGUCAUUGGAAACUGGAAAACUUGAGUGCAGAAGAGGAAAGUGGAAUUCCAUGUGUAGCGGUGAAAUGCGCAGAGAUAUGGAGGAACACCAGUGGCGAAGGCGACUUUCUGGUCUGUAACUGACGCUGAUGUGCGAAAGCGUGGGGAUCAAACAGGAUUAGAUACCCUGGUAGUCCACGCCGUAAACGAUGAGUGCUAAGUGUUAGGGUUUCCGCCCCUUAGUGCUGCAGCUAACGCAUUAAGCACUCCGCCUGGGGAGUACGACCGCAAGGUUGAAACUCAAAGGAAUUGACGGGGACCCGCACAAGCGGUGGAGCAUGUGGUUUAAUUCGAAGCAACGCGAAGAACCUUACCAAAUCUUGACAUCCUUUGACAACUCUAGAGAUAGAGCCUUCCCCUUCGGGGGACAAAGUGACAGGUGGUGCAUGGUUGUCGUCAGCUCGUGUCGUGAGAUGUUGGGUUAAGUCCCGCAACGAGCGCAACCCUUAAGCUUAGUUGCCAUCAUUAAGUUGGGCACUCUAAGUUGACUGCCGGUGACAAACCGGAGGAAGGUGGGGAUGACGUCAAAUCAUCAUGCCCCUUAUGAUUUGGGCUACACACGUGCUACAAUGGACAAUACAAAGGGCAGCGAAACCGCGAGGUCAAGCAAAUCCCAUAAAGUUGUUCUCAGUUCGGAUUGUAGUCUGCAACUCGACUACAUGAAGCUGGAAUCGCUAGUAAUCGUAGAUCAGCAUGCUACGGUGAAUACGUUCCCGGGUCUUGUACACACCGCCCGUCACACCACGAGAGUUUGUAACACCCGAAGCCGGUGGAGUAACCUUUUAGGAGCUAGCCGUCGAAGGUGGGACAAAUGAUUGGGGUGAAGUCGUAACAAGGUAGCCGUAUCGGAAGGUGCGGCUGGAUCACCUCCUUU